rnacentral:rRNA from 1 species
CGCCGUAAACGAUGUCGAUUUGGGAGGUUGUGCCCUUGAGGCGUGGCUUCCGGAGCUAACGCGUUAAAUCGACCGCCUGGGGAGUACGGCCGCAAGGUUAAAACUCAAAUGAAUUGACGGGGGCCCGCACAAGCGGUGGAGCAUGUGGUUUAAUUCGAUGCAACGCGAAGAACCUUACCUGGUCUUGACAUCCACAGAACUUUCCAGAGAUGGAUUGGUGCCUUCGGGAACUGUGAGACAGGUGCUGCAUGGCUGUCGUCAGCUCGUGUUGUGAAAUGUUGGGUUAAGUCCCGCAACGAGCGCAACCCUUAUCCUUUGUUGCCAGCGGUCCGGCCGGGAACUCAAAGGAGACUGCCAGUGAUAAACUGGAGGAAGGUGGGGAUGACGUCAAGUCAUCAUGGCCCUUACGACCAGGGCUACACACGUGCUACAAUGGCAUAUACAAAGAGAAGCGACCUCGCGAGAGCAAGCGGACCUCAUAAAGUAUGUCGUAGUCCGGAUUGGAGUCUGCAACUCGACUCCAUGAAGUCGGAAUCGCUAGUAAUCGUAGAUCAGAAUGCUACGGUGAAUACGUUCCCGGGCCUUGUACACACCGCCCGUCACACCAUGGGAGUGGGUUGCAAAAGAAGUAAAGAGCUUAACCUUCGGGAGGGCGCUUACCA